GAUGAACGCUGGCGGCGUGCCUAAUACAUGCAAGUCGAGCGAACAGACGAGGAGCUUGCUCCUCUGACGUUAGCGGCGGACGGGUGAGUAACACGUGGAUAACCUACCUAUAAGACUGGGAUAACUUCGGGAAACCGUAGCUAAUACCGGAUAAUAUAUUUAACCGCAUGGUUCAAUAGUGAAAGACGGUUUUGCUGUCACUUAUAGAUGGAUCCGCGCCGCAUUAGCUAGUUGGUAAGGUAACGGCUUACCAAGGCAACGAUGCGUAGCCGACCUGAGAGGGUGAUCGGACAAACUGGAACUGAGAAACGGUCCAGACUCCUACGGGAGGCAGCAGUAGGGAAUCUUCCGCAAAGGGCGAAAGCCUGACGGAGCAACGCCGCGUGAGUGAUGAAGGUCUUCGGAUCGUAAAACUCUGUUAUUAGGGAAGAACAAAUGUGUAAGUAACUAUGCACGUCUUGACGGUACCUAAUCAGAAAGCCACGGCUAACUACGUG
rnacentral:rRNA from 1 species